AAACACAUAGGUUUGAUCCCAGCCUUUCUAUUAGUUUCCAAUGAAAUUACACAUGCAAGUAUCUGCAUCCCAGUGAGAAUGGCCCCUAACUCUCAAUGGAUAAAAGGAGCCAGCAUCAAGCACACAAAGCUGUAGCUAACGACGCCUUGCUUAACCACACCCCCACGGGAUACAGCAGUGGUAAAAAUUAAGUCAUAAACGGAAGUUUGACUAAGUUAUAUUAUUCAGGGUUGGUAAAUUUCGUGCAAGCCACCGCGGUCAUAUGAUUAACCCAAAUUAAUAGAGAUACAGUGUAAAGCAUGUUAAUGAGUAACAACAACAACAGCAACAAAAACAGAGUUAAGCCCUGGCUAGGAUGUAGAAAGCUAUAGCCAGAGUAAAAAUAAACUACGAAAGUGACCCUAGUACUAUCUAAUUACACGACAGCUAAGACCCAAACUGGGAUUAGAUGCCCCACUAUGCUUAGCCUUAAAUCCAGGUGAUUAUGAUGAAAAAAUCACUUGCCAGAGUACUACUAGCAACUGCUUAACACUCAAAGAACUUGGCAAUGCUUCAUACCCUCCUAGAGGAGCCUGUUCUAUAAUCAAUAAACCCCGAUCAACUUUACCAACCCUUGCUAAUUCAGUCUAUAUACUGCCAUCUCCAGCAAACCCCCGAAGGGAAUAAAAGUAAGCUUAACUAUUUAAACGUAAAAAUGUUAGGUCAAGGUGUAACCAGUGGGAUGGGAAGAAAUGGACUACAUUUUCUUGCCCCCAAGAAAAUCUGCAGCUCUAACGAAGGCUCUUAUGAAAUUGAAGGCUAAAGGAGGGUUUAGUAGUAAAUUAAGAAUAGAGUGCUUAAUUGAACUAGGCCAUGAAGCACGCACACACCGCCCGUCACCCUCUUCAAGUAUAAUGGGCCUAUAGAUUACAAUAAUAAGUGCUAGACACGUGAGAAGAGGUAAGUCGUAACAAGGUAAGUAUACUGGAAAGUGUGCUUGGAAGAACAAAACG
rnacentral:ncRNA from 1 species